GGUCUUAUAGUCAAAUAUGAUUUUAAAUUGCAAAUUUAAAGGUAGAGUCUCUCUUAAGGCUU
rnacentral:tRNA from 1 species